UAAAAUAAAACAGAAAGCCGUUCGUUGGAUCAGUAUUUAAUCGGUAAUAAAUCAAUAACUUUUUCCACAAGCAUCCAAUUGUUUUGCGGUCUUCGAAGGAAAGUUUCAUAAAUGAUUUUCCUACAAGGAGCAAUGAUCGAUGUGAAUUAAGGAGACAGAGGGCGCCCUCUGGGAUUUUUUGUUUAAAAGUGUAACUUUUUCCAUAGUAAAUCCUAUGGAAACUUUGAACCACUUGCGCUAAAUUAUAGUUUCACCGAUUGCGCUGAAAUUUUGUGCAGUUCAUAUGGGACCUAAAUGGGAUCUGAAAAGUCGACUGGAGCGAGGAUUUAUUUUUUUCCAUACAAGCGUGUCCCAUACUAAUGUACAGCAGAGGCCACCCCGGCUUUAGCCUGAUCAGUUAGGUUCAUCGAUUUCAAAUCGGCGUAUGUUACAAUCGAUCGAGAACAGCUAUGGCAGAUUAUGCACGAUGGAUUCCCGGAUAAACUGAUACGAUUGAUCAAGGCGACGAUGGAUCGUAUGAUGUUCGAGUAUCAGGGACACUCUCGAGUCCCUUUGAAUCUCGCAGAGGGUUACGGCAAGGUGAUGGUCUUUUGUGCUUGCUGUUCAACGUAGCGUUAGAAUGUGUAAUAAGGAGAGCGGGGAUAAACUCGAGUGGGACGAUUUUCAUGAAGUCCGUUCAGCUGCUUGAUUUUGCUGAUGAUUUUGAUAUUAUCUCGUAAAUUUGAGACGAUGGCGGAAACGUACAUUCGAAUUAAGAGUGAAGCCAGGUGAAUCGGGUUAGUCGUUAAUGUGUCGAAGACAAAGUACAUGAUGGCAAAGGGCUCCAGGGAAGAAUCACCGCGCCCGCCACCCCGAAUUUAUAUCGACGGUGAUGAAAUCCAGACGGUUGAAGAAUUCGUGUACUUGGGCUCACUGAUGACCGCCGACAACGACACCAGCAGAGAAAUUCAGAGGCGCAUUGUGAUAGGAAAUCGUGCUUACUUUGGAUUCUACAGAAUUCUACGAUCGAAUAAGUUUCGCGGUAACACGAAGUUAACUAUAUACAAAACGCUGAUUAGACCGGUAGUUCUCUAUGGGCACGAAACAUGGACCCUACGUGCAGAGGACCAACGCGCCCUUGAAGUAUUCGAACGGAAGGUGUUGCGUACCAUCUACGGCGGAGUGCAGAUGGAAGACGGGACAUGAAGAAGGCGAAUAAACCACGAGCUGCACCAGCUGCUAAGAGAAUCAACCAUCGUCCAUACCGCGAAAAUCGGGAGGCUCGGUGUGCGGUUCACGUCAUCAGAAUGACGGAUAGCAACCCGACUAAAAUGGUUCUCGAUAGUCAUCCGACCGGUACAAGAAGACGUGAAGCGUAGCGAGUUAGGUGGGUCGACCAAGUGGAGGACGAUCUGCGGACCCUACGCAGAGUGCGGAACUGGAGACAAAUAGCCAUGGACCGAGUGGAAUGGAGACGGCUACUAUGUACAGCAGAAGGCACCCGGCCUUAGCCUGAUCGGUUAGGUAGGUAUUAGGAAUUUUAUCAGGCGUUCCUUCUAAAAAUUCUCCAAGAAGUAUAUCGAGAAUUCCCCCAGAAAAUGCUUCAGGCUUUCUGUCGGGAGGAAUGCCCGAAGGAAAUGCAGAAAGAACUCCUGAAGUAACGCCUGGAGUAAUUUUCGAAGGAAGGCCUGGAGGAAUUCCCAAAGGAACUUUUUGAAGAAUUUCCGAAGGAACUUCGGGAAGGAUUCCAGAAGGAGAAAUUUCCGAAGGAACUACUGAAGGAAUUCCCGGAGGAACUCCUAGAGAUAUUUCCGAAGAAUCGCCUUGAGGAACUCCAGAUGGAAUGCCUAAAAGAAUUACAGACGAAGUGCGUGAUGGAACUUCCGAUGGAGUUGUUGGAGAAAUUCCCGAUCCGUCGGAAUACCUGAACUCUCAAAGGAAACCCUAAUGGCAUUCUCGAAGGAACAUCUCAAAAAAUUCUCGCAGAGAUUCCCGGAGGAGUUCCCGAUGGAAUACCUGGAGGAAUUCCUGAAAAAAAAACUCCUGGAGGGAUGCCCGAAGGAAUUAAUUGCAGGAAGAAUUCCUAAUUGGAAAUUAGUACAGAAAUUAUACAUUAAAUUGGACUCUGAAAACACAUUACAAUAAAUUUGCAUGAAAACUUUCCCAAAAUACUCAUGACAUCUGAUUUUCGAGUCAAGUACAAGACACUGAAGACGACCUUACAGAUGAGGUCGAAAUACGUAUCUGUCAAAGGAUGCAAAUUCUUAGUGGAAUUAAAAGGAACAGUACUUAACGCGAUUUUCUUUUUAUUUACAGAUAUUCCCCUAACAAGCCCAGGUUAAUCAUCAUCUGAUUUUACGUUGGGCAUCAAAUGAUAUUCUUAGAAAAACACGUCAAUAGAAAUUCUAGUAAAAUAUCUGAAGAGAUUCUCAACGGAACUUCUAGAGGAAUUCAUUAUGCUGCUCCUGGAGAGUUUAUCGAAAGAAAUCCUGGUAGAAUUCUCAGAAAAACUUUUGGAGAAAUCCACGAAGGAACUCAUGUGAAAAUUCUCGAUGGAACUCCUGAAGAAAUUUUCGAAGGAUCUCCUGGUAAAAAAGAGACAAUUACACCGUCUUCGACCUUGCGGCCUCUACAGACUGAACAAUACUAACAUUUGACAACAGACAACACAUACAGAGCGUUAGGUUCCUGAGUGCAAACUUUUUAAAGGGUGAUAGAGGACCAUAAAUGGAGAAAAAAAUUGUUCUACGCAUAUGGUCAAAUCUUAACCGUUACGUAGUUUGACUCUUAUUGCCUUAACUGGCUAUAACUUGAAAAUGGUCAAACUUAUCGAAGUUUUUUGACCCUUAUUCAAUAGAUUAUUGAAUUUUCUAUUAAAUGGCAUCUUUGAAUCGAUUGGUUUAGUUAAAUAACUAAGUUUUCUAGAGCAAAAUAGCUAAAAAUAGUGUAUUUUUAUUAGUUUUUGACAAUUAUCUUUGGAACAUGCGUAAUAAAUUAAAAUUAAUUCUUAGGCAAAGUUGUGGUCCCUGUUUCACUUUACAAUUCGUACUUUGACAUUAAACUUCUAUCUCUUAUCGUUUUGUUGAAAUUUCGAUUUGAACAUCGCAUUUCAGAUUAUAAAUUUGCAACUGCCAUGCAAAGCACUUUUUGCGCAUUGUGCCGCACAUUUAAAUCAAAACUGCAAGAAAACGAUAAGAGCUAGAAGUUUAGUGUCAAAGAAAGAAUUGUAGAGUGUAACAGGGGCCACAACUUUGCCUAAGAAAGAAUUUAUUACGCAUGUUUCAAAGAUAAUUGACAAAAACCAAUAAAAAUACACUAUUUUCAGCUAUUUUGCUCUAAAAAACUAAGCUAUUUAACUAAACCAAUCGAUUCAAAGACGCUAUUUGAUAGAAAAUUCACUAGUCUCUUGAAUAAGGGUAAAAAAACUUCGAAAAGUUUGACCAUUUUCAAGUUAUUACCAGUUAAGGCAAUAAGAGUCAAAAACAUGGGAAGUUCAAUAACGACGUAACGGUUGAGAUUUGACCAUAUGCGCAGAACAAUUUUUUUUCACCAUUUAUGGUCCUCUAUCACCCUUUAAAAAGUUUGCGCUCAGGAACCUAACACCCUGUAUAACACCCAGUGGCCCAGUGAAGAAUUUUUCGUCCGACGAAAAGUUUUCCCCGACUGGAGCGGGAAUCGAACCCACACUCCGAGGCUUACGAGACACCUAAACGACUGACGCCGCUAACCGCUCGGCCACGAAGCCCACAAUCUCCUGGUAAGAUUCCCAAAACAACUCCUGCAGGAAUCCUCGAAGAGGAUUUUCAAGAAACUUCUAGAGUAAUUAUUGAAGGGACUCCUCAAGAAAUUCUUAAGAAAGCUCCUAAAGAAAUUUCUGAAAUAGUUCUCUAAAGAAUUUAUGACAUGACUUAUGAAGAAUUUGAAUUUCUGGAGAAAUUCCCGCAGGAAGUCCUGGAGGAAUUCUCGAAGGAAAUCCAAGAGAAAUUUCCAAAUGAUGUCCUUGAGGAGUUCCCAAAAAAAAAUCCUACAGCAAUUUUCAAGGGAACUUCCGAAAGAAUUUCCGAAAGAGCUAUUGAAGGAAUUCUUGAUGGAACUUCGGAAAAAAUUCCCGAAGGAUCACCUGAUGAAUUCUCAAAGGAACUCCUUUAGUAAAUGAAAUGGGACUCCUCAAGGAAUUCUAGAAGAAACUCCUGGAAGAAAUCUCGAAAGAACUCCGGAGAGGGAAAUUUCCGGGGGAAUUCCUGGAGGAAUUUCCGGAGGAUCUACUGAUGGAAUUUCUAAAGGCAUUUAUAACGGAGCACCUGGAGGAAUUUCCGAUUGAACUUCUGGAGGUACUCCUGAUGCAAUACCUAGCGGGAUUUCCGAUAAAACACCUAAUGGAAUUCUCGAAGGAACUCCUGGAUAAAUUGCUGAAAGAAUACCACCCGAUGGAAUACCUAGCGGAGUUUUUAAACACCUGAAAGAAUUUCCAAUGAAAUACCUGGAGGAAUUCCCGAAGGAAUAUCUGAUGGAAUUCACGACGGAAUUCUUUUAGUAUACCGUCUACCCCCGUUGGUUUGAACGACACCUAAUGCAAACCAGCGAGGUUCAUUUUUAAUUUGAACAUCUAGUAACACCGAAAAUACACUGCUAGCAACCAUAUUUGCUGUUUUAUUUUGAUUCUGCGUUCCGUUUUAUUAGCAGGAUGACGUUUGGACCAUUUUAAGUUUGAACGAUGUGCAGAGCAUGGGUCAAAUUAAAAAAUUAUCAGAUUAUGUGAGGUCAAACCAACGGGGGUAGGGUAGGCGGAUUGUUGGCUGAAACGCGACUAUGAUGCAGUUGUUAAAAACCAUACAUAUAAGUCUCCGAGAAACGUGCGGCUAAAUUCAGAUAAAUCCUCGAAAAUCGCGACCAAAUUUUAAGGAUCCGCGAAAUCCACGUUGUGUGUGGCACAUAAAACCGCGAAAAUCGUGAUA